UACACAGGGUGCUAGCGUUAAUCGGAAUUAGUGGGCGUAAAGCGCACGUAGGCGGCGACGUAAGUUGGGAGGGAAACCCCCGGGCGCAACCGUGGGAUUGCAUUCAAGACUGCAUUGCUGGAGUACGGAAGAGGAGAGCGGAAUUCCUGUUGUAGCGGUGAAAUGCGUAGAUAUCGGGAGAAACAACAGUGGUGAAGGCGGGCCUCUGGCCCAGUACUGACACUCAAGUGCAAAAGCGUGGGGAGUAAAAAGG
rnacentral:rRNA from 1 species